AGUACCACAUAUGGCUAUGAGAAGUGGGAAAACUCACAUGGGAAUAAUUUAGAAAGUUAAGUUUAUAAAAAGAAAAAUUUAUAAGUCCAAAAACCAAAUAAAUUUAGGAAAAACGUAAGCAGAAUAAUUUAUAAGUCCGAAGUCCAUCAUAUGUCCGCAUGCCAUGUUCGAUCCUAGUCUCAAGCAUUACUUGAGAUGGUUGAAACUAUGGGGUGAGCUAACUAGCAUAAACAUAAUAUUAUUCAUAUAUCAUUCAUCAUUAAUAACAUUGUAACACAAACAUAGCAUAAACAUUACCAUUCAAAAGUGUCAUGGACAAAACAUAAUACAUAAUGAUUUCCUACCCCAACCAUCCGCUACACACCACAAGUUCCCCAGAACUCAUCUGCCAAACUCCAUACAUUGCGAGUUGAGCUCAAUGUGGUUAAACCACCAUUAUAUGUAAUGAAGAUAUACUGCCAUUCAAAAUAAAUAUGAUAUAAUCGUUGUUCUCCUCAUUACUCCCAGUGCAGUGCACUGACAACAUAUAUGCGGACUUAAUAUGCCUCCAUUACUUCACGGAACUCCUCCUUCAUCCACAUAAUCCCAUCCUAUGCACAUGUAAUAUGUCAUACAAAUUUCAAUUAAAAUCAUGUUUCCAUUACAUUCCCAUUUCAAUAGCAUGUUUUGCAUGCUCAUAACAACAUUCACUUUCAUUCGAUAAUAACAUUUAUCAAUCAUUUAGUUUCACCAUCAAUACAGUGACAUUCCAACAUGUCAUAGUUUCAUUAUCAUUCAUAAGAAAUUUUCCAGUGCAUGUGUAGCAGUCUUUCAUAUAUUUCACAACAUUUUACCCAAACAUACAUUUCAUUUUUAUUCUAAUACGUGCUACUCAUACAACCAGCGUACAUUAUAUCACAAAAUAAUUCAUAUUAAUUCAUAUCAAUACCAGACAUUCAAACAUUCAAUCAGUCAUGCAACAUUGCAAACAUGCCAUUUAUCUAAGGUUCGAAACGUACCUGAUUCAGCCACAUUAAAAUCACUUACUUAGCCAUUUAACUAAGUUUGACCAACAAGCUUAAUCAUCAUUUUAAGUAUUAAAAAGAUUAUUUAACAUUUAAAUUUUAUAGGUUGGAACCCACACCUUAUUUUUGUACAACUGUAGCACUACUUACCAAACUUGCGAUUCCUCCUUUAGACUUAAAUUGAACCUAAAUUAAAAUACAAUAUUUAUCGAGUUAAAAUGUUUCCAAAUCAGCCCUAAAGCACCCUCUUAAAGGUUCAAUCAAAUUAGCAUUACCGUAAUAAUUUUUUGUCUAAAUCGACUAGGCUACUUACACUGAUUUGAUGCGAAACAUACGUACGAAUGAGUUUUGUAGUCAUUGAUGAUCCGAGAAGUUUAAAUCAGCAUAUAAACAUAAUUAAUCCCCAAAAAUCAGUAACCAAAACCCCUGUUCAGAUUUUAAAGCAAUCGACCAAAGAAGAAAUUAGUAAUAAAGAAAAACAGUGCAAGAUCUCGCACAAGUUUGCACUUUGCACCACCCAUUACCCUGAUCUGAGUUGUCGGAUGAACAUCUUUCUGAAUUAUCAAUUAGGAACGUUUAAAUCAGAACCAAAUAGAGGGAAAAAUCUAAAAAAUUAAAAUAGUAGGGGCGAAAAUUGAAGAGAAACGACAAUCCCAAAACAAUGGUACUCUAAGGGCGUGGCAACACCAUUUGAGGUGACAAAAAAGGCAAAUCUGGGGUGCUACAAGGAGGGAUCUUUGGACAACCAAAAAGAAAAAUUUUAAGGGCUAGAAUGAUUGACUUAUUGGAUAUAAAAAUAGUAGCCAAAAAUCGGAUCACAAAGUAUAAGAACAGAGAAAAAAAAAUAGGAUUUACUAGCAUUGAUAUGAACAAGGGAGAGGGAGUGGCAAUGGACAGUAAAAGAGGAUGUUAGGAGAGAAAAAAAAGAAAUUUUAGGGCAGAAAAUAAGGAUGGUUUAGGAGGUCUAAAUGUUCAAUAAGGUGACUGGACAAACCAAAAUAGAAAAACUCUAACAACAGGGCAACACAACUGUGAUGAAAUCCCAAAAAAAGGACGAAACUUUGAGAGAAAAAAAAUAAGAGACGAGAGGAGAACUGCUAGGGUAGGAGAAAAAAAUAGACUUAAGGCUGAAAAGUAAGUGAAAAAGUGAUAUUUAUACUUAGGUUAAAAGGCAUGAGUAGCAUAAAAACAGGGGGAAGGAGAAAAAUUAGCAAAAU
rnacentral:lncRNA from 1 species